GACGAACGCUGGCGGCGUGCCUAAUACAUGCAAGUCGAGCGGACAGAAGGGAGCUUGCUCCCGGAAGUUAGCGGCGGACGGGUGAGUAACACGUGGGCAACCUACCCUGUAGAUCGGGAUAACAUCGAGAAAUCGGUGCUAAUACCGGAUAAUCAUUUGAAGUGCAUGCUUCGAAUGUAAAAGAUGGCUCCGGCUAUCACUACGGGAUGGGCCCGCGGCGCAUUAGCUAGUUGGUAAGGUAAUGGCUUACCAAGGCAACGAUGCGUAGCCGACCUGAGAGGGUGAUCGGCCACACUGGGACUGAAACACGGCCCAGACUCCUACGGGAGGAAGCAGUAGGGAAUCUUCCGCAAUGGACGAAAGUCUGACGGAGCAACGCCGCGUGAGUGAUGAAGGUUUUCGGAUCGUAAAGCUCUGUUGUUAGGGAAGAACAAGUGCCGUUUGAAUAAGGCGGCACCUUGACGGUACCUAACCAGAAAGCCACGGCUAACUACGUGCCAGCCGCCGCCGUAAUAC
rnacentral:rRNA from 1 species